rnacentral:sRNA from 1 species
GUCGUGAGAUGUUGGGUUAAGUCCCGCAACGAGCGCAACCCUCGUCCUAUGUUGCCAGCGCGUAAUGGCGGGGACUCAUAGGAGACUGCCGGGGUCAACUCGGAGGAAGGUGGGGAUGACGUCAAAUCAUCAUGCCCCUUAAGUCCAGGGCUGCACACAUGCUACAAUGGCCGAUACAAAGGGCUGCGAUACCGCAAGGUGGAGCGAAUCCCAAAAAGUCGGUCUCAGUUCGGAUCGGGGUCUGCAACCCGACCCCGUGAAGUCGGAGUCGCUAGUAAUCGCAGAUCAGCAAUGCUGCGGUGAAUACGUUCCCGGGCCUUGUACACACCGCCCGUCACGCCAUGGAAGUGGUGAGCGCCCGAAGUCCGUGUCGGAACCCGCAAGGGGCCAAGCGGCCGAAGGCGAGCAUCAUGACUGGGGCGAAGUCGUAACAAGGUAGCCGUAGGGGAACCUGCGGCUGGAUCACCUCCUUAACGGAGCUGCGAGUAAGGCAGAACAAGCCUGGGCAACCAGGAGUUACUUUGCCGGAAGGCACUCACGUGUCGCUCGUCUCGUAACAUCCAGAUCUCAAUCUCGAUUUCCAUAGUAUUAAAAAGAGCCCGAACCAUUUCGCGGCAACGCGAUAUGAUCCAGGCUCGAAAGAACAAGAGGGACUUGAAGCUAAGCCCUUAAGCACGAAGCGACUGAGCGCUUAUAUCUCAACCGUUUUUUGACAAUGGAAAGUAGUAGUGAUCGUGGGAUUUGAGUAAUGGGAUUUGAUAAGAUCCUAUUACUGAGAAUCAACACUAGUGACACAAUUUCAUGCGAAGCUCUGACCUUACGGUUGGGGCUCGAUUUGUCUCAAAGAGCGUAAUUGCUCCGAGAGUCCAAAGAUUGUAUCACUCGUUAGAUCGUGCGUGUUUCUGUUUGAACAAGUUAUUUGAUCAAGCGAAAGAAAGUAUGUGGGGGAUGCCUAGGUACACGGAGGCGAUGAAGGCCGUGGUAAGCUGCGAUAAGCCAGGGGGAGCGGCACACACGCUAUGAGCCCUGGAUGG